GUUUCCGUAGGUGAACCUGCGGAAGGAUCAUUAUUGAAUAAACCUGAUGUGGCUGUUAGCCGGCUUUUCGAAGCAUGUGCUCGUCCGUCAUCUUUAAUCUCUCCACCUGUGCACAUUUUGUAGUCUUGGAUACCUCUCGAGGCAACUCGGAUUUUAGGAUCGCCGUGCUGUAAAAGUCAGCUUUCCUCUCAUUUCCAAGACUAUGUUUUUAUAUACACCAAAACAUGUUUAAAGAAUGUCAUCAAUGGGAACUUGUUUCCUAUAAAAUUAUACAACUUUCAGCAACGGAUCUCUUGGCUCUCGCAUCGAUGAAGAACGCAGCGAAAUGCGAUAAGUAAUGUGAAUUGCAGAAUUCAGUGAAUCAUCGAAUCUUUGAACGCACCUUGCGCUCCUUGGUAUUCCGAGGAGCAUGCCUGUUUGAGUGUCAUUAAAUUCUCAACCUUCCAGCUUUUAUUAGCUUGGUUAGGCUUGGAUGUGGGGGUUGUGGGCUUCAUUAAUGAGGUCAGCUCUCCUUAAAUGCAUUAGUGGAACUUUUGUGGACCGUCUAUUGGUGUGAUAAUUAUYUACGCCGUGGAUGUGAAACAGCUUUAUGAAGUUCAGCUUCUAAUCGUCCAUUGACUUGGACAAUUUUUGACAAUUUGACCUCAAAUCAGGUAGGACUACCCGCUGAACUUAAGCAUAUCAAUAAGCGGAGGA
rnacentral:rRNA from 1 species